ACAGCUGUAUCAUGUUGAAAACACCAGUUCCUUUGUGAUCACUAAAGUUAAGCAACAUUGAGCCUGGUCAAUACCUAGAUGGUUGACCACUUGGGAAUAUCAGGUGCUGUAAG